rnacentral:rRNA from 1 species
UACGGGGGGUGCAAGCGUUGUUCGGAAUUACUGGGCGUAAAGGGCUCGUAGGUGGCCAACUAAGUCAGACGUGAAAUCCCUCGGCUUAACCGGGGAACUGCGUCUGAUACUGGAUGGCUUGAGUUUGGGAGAGGGAUGCGGAAUUCCAGGUGUAGCGGUGAAAUGCGUAGAUAUCUGGAGGAACACCGGUGGCGAAGGCGGCGUCCUGGACCAACACUGACACUGAGGAGCGAAAGCCAGGGGAGCAAACGGG